CUCUCGCCUGGCUGGCCGUGGGGGGCCUGGACGCAGUGGCCUCCCGAAUCUCCCAGGACCCUAAUAUCGCCCGAGGAUGCUGGGAGGAACGCUGAGCCGACCUCUCCGUUAGGCUGAAGAUUGCACAAACCAUGCUAAUGGCCAGCAUGGAUGGAGGGAGCGUGUGAGAUGUGUGGGGCAGCGUGCUGCAUCUCAGCCAACUCCAGGAGCCAGUUGAUGUGAUGGACUACCUUAAUUGAUUUUUGAAUGUUGAGCCAGCCUUAUGCAUGUGGGAUAAACCCCUGUUGAUCAUGGCUGGCUGGAGUGCAGUGGUGCAAUCAUGGCUCACUGCAACCUCAAAUUCCUGGGCUCAAGGGAUCCUCCUGCCUCAGCCUCCCAAGUAGCUAGGACUACAGGUAUGUGCCACCACUCCCAACUAAUUUUUUUAUUUUUUGUAGAGACGAGAUCUAACUUUGUUGCCCAGGCUGGUAUUGAACUCUUGGGUUCAAGUAAUCCUCCUGCCUCAGUCUCCUAAAGUGCUAGGGUUAUAGAUGUGAGCCACUGUACCCAGCCAGGUUGUAUAUUGAAAUAAUAAUUUCUUAAUAUAUUGAAUUAAAAUAUAUUUAAGGC
rnacentral:lncRNA from 10 species